UACGGAGGGUGCGAGCGUUAAUCGGAAUUACUGGGCGUAGAGCGCACGCAGGCGGUUUGUUAAGCUAGAUGUGAAAGCCCCGGGCUCAACCUGGGAUGGUCAUUUAGAACUGGCAGACUAGAGUCUUGGAGAGGGGAGUGGAAUUCCAGGUGUAGCGGUGAAAUGCGUAGAUAUCUGGAGGAACAUCAGUGGCGAAGGCGACUCCCUGGCCAAAGACUGACGCUCAUGUGCGAAAGUGUGGGUAGCGAACAGG
rnacentral:rRNA from 1 species